CGGCAGGCCUACCAUGCAAGUCNACGGACCCUUCGGGGUUAGUGGCGGACGGGUGAGUAACACGUGGGAACGUGCCCUUUGGUUCGGAAUAGCUCCUGGAAACGGGUGGUAAUGCCGAAUGUGCCCUUCGGGGGAAAGAUUUAUCGCCAUUAGAGCGGCCCGCGUCUGAUUAGCUAGUUGGUGAGGUAAAGGCUCACCAAGGCUACGAUCAGUAGCUGGUCUGAGAGGAUGGCCAGCCACAUUGGGACUGAGACACGGCCCAAACUCCUACGGGAGGCAGCAGUGGGGAAUCUUGCGCAAUGGGCGAAAGCCUGACGCAGCCAUGCCGCGUGAAUGAUGAAGGUCUUAGGAUUGUAAAAUUCUUUCACCGGGGACGAUAAUGACGGUACCCGGANAANAAGCCCCGGCUAACUUCGUGCCAGCAGCCGCGGUAAUACGAAGGGGGCUAGCGUUGCUCGGAAUUACUGGGCGUAAAGGGAGCGUAGGCGGACAUUUAAGUCAGGGGUGAAAUCCCAGAGCUCAACUCUGGAACUGCCUUUGAUACUGGAUGUCUUGAGUGUGA
rnacentral:rRNA from 1 species